rnacentral:RNase_P_RNA from 2 species
GCAGGCCCAAGGUCACAAUGCUCGCCCCGAACGGCUCCGGCCCCCCUCGCGAGCGGGAUAAGGUCCUGGCAUUCGACCCCCACCACCCGGCCCAAAGGCCGCGCGCGUCAUGCGCGGCGCCCUCGACCAGAAAUGCGCUGUGCGCCGGACGACUCCCGGAGACGCGGACCCGGCCUAGGCCUGGGCGAGCUGAGGGCCGGCGCGCGGCUUGGUAGGAGGGCGGGGGAUGCCUGGCGUCCUGAGGCGCGUCUCGAGAGAGCACGCGCCCGGCGUCAAGGCUUUAGUGCAAUUUGGUGACGUCCCCACUCACCCUCGGCGCUGCCGAGGGGGGAUAACUCGAUCAGGACUACUCUGGGCCUGC